rnacentral:rRNA from 1 species
CCUACGGGAGGCAGCAGUGGGGAAUAUUGGACAAUGGGGGGAACCCUGAUCCAGCCAUGCCGCGUGUGUGAAGAAGGCCCUCGGGUUGUAAAGCACUUUCAGUGAGGAAGAACGCCUGGUGGUUAAUACCCAUCAGGAAAGACAUCACUCACAGAAGAAGCACCGGCUAACUCCGUGCCAGCAGCCGCGGUAAUACGGAGGGUGCGAGCGUUAAUCGGAAUUACUGGGCGUAAAGCGCGCGUAGGUGGCUUGAUAAGCCGGUUGUGAAAGCCCCGGGCUCAACCUGUGAACGGCAUCCGGAACUGUCAAGCUAGAGUGCAGGAGAGGAAGGUAGAAUUCCCGGUGUAGCGGUGAAAUGCGUAGAGAUCGGGAGGAAUACCAGUGGCGAAGGCGGCCUUCUGGACUGACACUGACACUGAGGUGCGAAAGCGUGGGUAGCAAACAGGAUUAGAUACCCCGGUAGUC